AUUGAACGCUGGCGGCAGGCCUAACACAUGCAAGUCGAGCGGAUGAAGGGAGCUUGCUCCUGGAUUCAGCGGCGGACGGGUGAGUCAUGCCUAGGAAUCUGCCUGGUAGUGGGGGAUAACGUCCGGAUACGGGCGCUAAUACCGCAUACGUCCUGAGGGAGCAAGUGGGGGAUCUUCGGACCUCACGCUAUCAGAUGAGCCUAGGUCGGAUUAGCUAGUUGGUGGGGUAAAGGCCUACCAAGGCGACGAUCCGUAACUGGUCUGAGAGGAUGAUCAGUCACACGGGAACUGAGACACGGUCCAGACUCCGACGGGAGGCAGCAGUGGGGAAUAUUGGACGAUGGGCGAAAGCCUGAUCCAGCCAUGCCGCGUGUGGGAAGAAGGUCUUCGGAUUGUAAAGCACUUUAAGUUGGGAGGAAGGGCAGUAAGUUUAUACCUUGCUGUUUUGACGGUACCAACAGAAUAAGCACCGGCUAACUUCGUG
rnacentral:rRNA from 1 species